GUCGAGCGGCAGCGCGGGGCAACCUGGCGGCGAGCGGCGAACGGGUGAGUAAUGCAUCGGAACAUGUCCAUGUCGUGGGGGAUAGCCCGGCGAAAGCCGGAUUAAUACCGCAUACGCCCGAGAGGGGAAAGUGGGGGACCGCAAGGCCUCACGCGAUUGGGUUGGCCGAUGUCCGAUUAGCUAGUUGGCGGGGUAAGAGCCCACCAAGGCGAUGAUCGGUAGCUGGUCUGAGAGGAUGAUCAGCCACACUGGGACUGAGACACGGCCCAGACUCCUACGGGAGGCAGCAGUGGGGAAUUUUGGACAAUGGGGGCAACCCUGAUCCAGCCAUUCCGCGUGAGUGAAGAAGGCCUUCGGGUUGUAAAGCUCUUUUGUCCGGAACGAAACGGUGCACGUGAAUAUCGUGCGCUACUGACGGUACCGGAAGAAUAAGCACCGGCUAACUACGUGCCAGCAGCCGCGGUAAUACGUAGGGUGCGAGCGUUAAUCGGAAUUACUGGGCGUAAAGCGUGCGCAGGCGGUUUUGUAAGCCAGAUGUGAAAUCCCCGGGCUUAACCUGGGAAUGGCAUUUGGGACUGCAAGGCUGGAGUGUGGCAGAGGAGACUGGAAUUCCUGGUGUAGCAGUGAAAUGCGUAGAUAUCAGGAGGAAUACCGAUGGCGAAGGCAGGUCUCUGGGCUGACACUGACGCUCAUGCACGAAAGCGUGGGGAGCAAACAGGAUUAGAUACCCUGGUAGUCCACGCCCUAAACGAUGUCGACUGGUUGU
rnacentral:rRNA from 1 species